UGGGAGGCAGAUAUACAAAUUGAGCAGCAAUAAUACUGUAAUUGUUACCUAGAAUAAAUUGCCUUUUGAUGACCAGUGCAAAUUGAAUGAAAUCAUGAGGGACUGAUGGGGGCAGAAAGCU
ensembl:scaRNA